UAGACCAGGGACCCAGGAAGAGG
rnacentral:piRNA from 1 species